rnacentral:rRNA from 1 species
GACGAACGCUGGCGGCGUGCUUAACACAUGCAAGUCGAGCGGUAAGGCCCUUUCGGGGGUACGACGAGCGGCGAACGGGUGAGUAACACGUGGGUGACCUGCCUUUAGUCUCUGGGAGUAAGCCUGGGAAACCGGGGUACUAAUACCGGAUAUGACUCCGCGGCGCAUGUUGUGGGGUGGAAAGCCUUGUGCGGCUGGAGAUGGGCCCGCGGCCUAUCAGCUUGUUGGUGGGGUGAUGGCCUACCAAGGCGACGACGGGUAG